CGCGGUCCCCACCUCCGCCGCACGACGCCAGCGCAAGCUCCUCGUACCACACCCGCAGCGUCGUAGCUCCUCUCUGACCGGACCUGUGGUGGAGCAGCGGCGGUGUAAGGCCCGAGUGGAAUUAGGGCCGAAUUCGUGUGAUUUCGUAUGAGAUUUCGAUAGGAUUUAACGAGCAGAGCUCGGAAGAACAGAAGAACCCUAGCUAGAACUAAUUUACUUUGGAAUUCUCUUCUUACUUUAUGCCGAUAGCCCAAGCCAGCUUAUAAGGUGCUGCUGAGUUGUGAUUUUAACCGACAAGAUCGUUACGGCGACAGUAAGUUCAAUGGCGAAAGAACAAGUAAAAGAUGUAAAUAGCAAUAGAUAAGUGGCUUCAUCCUAGCCGUUGUAGCUUAGUCGCCAGCGUCCAUCUCCACCGCACGUUAACUGAAUAUGAGUCCCCUGUUCUUCAGUAUGCAGUAGCAGAUAAGCAGGGUCCUGACAGUGCCCCCUUCGUGAAAUGCGACUUGUCCUCAAGGAGAAAAUCCAGGAAAAGUAUGAAGGAUGAAAGGAACAUCUUCCCAGGUGGAAUCAUCGGGUGCCAGUUUCUCCCAUUGAAUUAACCACUGAGCCACUAGCAGUUUGUUACGCUGGAUCACUCGGCGAUUUAAAACUGCACUUGGGACAGUCUUGAUGUGGCCAUCUUCAGUGACCAGCGGCACAUGAGGCAGUGGUACAGCGUUCAGGCCAAUGUGUUGCUUUAACUGACUCACAUGGAACACUGGGUGCAUUCGCACACCCUCCGGCAAGUGCAGCUUGUAUGAACGAGUGCCAAUUCUCUGCAGCACUUGAUAUGGUCCAUAGAACUUCGAGCGCAGUUUCAGGGAUCCCCUCAGACCAAAUGCAUACUGACGGUAUGGUUGUAUUUUGAUAUAUACCAUGUCGCCGACAUCCAAAGUGCGUUCAGAAUGAUGUAGAUCAGCAUAGUGUUUCAUCCUCUGAUGUGCCUUGUUCAAGUUGUCCUUCAUAUUAGUAAGGAUAAGAGUUCUGUCCUGACUUGUCAAUUGUUCUUCUGGACAGUUGUGAUUCAGAAUAGCAGAUUCCCCAAUUUGAGGAGGUUUGUACCCAUAAAGAGCUUCAAAAGGAGUGAGUUUGAGAGAUGUAUGGUAAGAGGUGUUAUACCAAAAUUCGGCCAAAGGAAGCCAUUUCAUCCAAUGUUUUGGUUCUUGAAACACCGUAGCUCUCAGGUAAGCCUCUAAGCAUUGGUUGACACGUUCAGAUUGACCAUCCGUCUGAGGAUGAUAUGCUGUACUCAUACGUAGCUCCACACCCAUUCUUCUGAAAAUUUCCUUGUACAAGUUGCUAGUAAAGAUUCGAUCUCGAUCAGAUAUAAUGACAAUGGGCAUCCCAUGGAUCUUGAAUAUAUUAUCCAUAAAAGCUUGCACAAAUGAUUGUACUGAGUAUGGAUUAGACAUUGGAAUGAAGUGAGAGUACUUUGUCAAUCUUUACCUUGAGAUUUUGGAAGAGCUUCAAUGAAAUCCAUGGUAAUAUGGGACCAAGCCAUGGGAGGCACUGGUAAUGGUUCCAGCAGACCAGGUGAAUGAAUGUGCUCAAUUUUGUUAAGUUGACAAACUGGGCAUUGUUGAACAUAUGUUUCUAUUUGCUAUUUGCUGUUUGAGUUUGGGCCAAUAAAUGUUUGCCUCAUAGAAGUGGCAGCACCCACAUAAAUCCUGCUUUUGUAUUUGAUAAUGCCAGACUGUAGAGUAAAAUGAGGGGCUGCAGAAACAUCAGCUGCCAAUUUGUUCAAAAGAGCUGAACUUUCUGGAUCUUGAAUAGAACUUUGUUUGAUAUCAUCCAACCAAUCUGGAAUGACAGUAGUGAUGGCAUGACAUUGACUGUCUGGAACAUCUCUUCUGGACAGUGCAUCAGCAGCUAGGUUCUCUUUUCCUUUCUUGUACUCAAUGACAUAAUCAAACUCCAACAGUUUCAACAUGAGUUUAUGUUGUAUGCCUUCAGUUAAUCUUUGGGUGCCGAUAAACUUCAGGCUUUGUGAUCUGUUUUGAUAACUAACUUGUGACCCCAAAUGUAGUGUCUCCACUUUUUAAUAGCUUCCAAAAUGGCCAAAGCUUCUUUCUCAUACACUGAUUGAGCUGCAGGUCUUGGUCCUAAGCCCUGGCUGAAAUAGGCUAAAGGGCGACCAUUUUGCAUCAGUACAGCACCAAUACCAGUGGCACAAGCAUCUGCUUCUAUAGUAAAGCUUUGUGUAAAAUCUGGGAGAGCCAAGACAGGGCAAGUAGUCAUGAUAGUCUUUAGUUGCUGAAAAGCCUGUUCCUGGGAUGGCCCCCACACAAAAGCAUCUUUGCGAAGAGCAUCAUGUAAAGGCCGACAUAUAAAUCCAUAACCUUUGACAAAUCUCCUAUAGUAUCCAGUUAAGCCCAAAAAACCCCUGAGCUUUGAUGCAGAGACAGGUGUUUUCCAGUUGAGGACAUCUACUAUUUUGCUUGGGUCAGUAGAAACUCCAUCUGCUGAAAUGAUAUGUCCUAGGUAAGACACCUUUGAAGUAGCAAAGCUGCAUUUAGACAACUUAAGUGACAGUUUAUGUUGUCUCAAAAUGUCCAGGGCUAACUGAAGAUGUCGGCAGUGUGUCUCCAUGUCAGGACUGUAGAUCAGAAUAUCAUCGAAGAACACAAGAAUACAUUUUCUGAGUAAAUCACCAAAAAUGGUAUUCAUGAAAUACUGAAAUGUAGCUGGUGCGUUUGUAAGACCAAAGGGCAUCACAGUAUAUUCAUAGAGGCCUAAAUGUGUCUUAAAUGUAGUUUUAGGAAUAUCUGGCGUAGCCAUCCGAAUCUGGUGAUAUCCUGAUCUUAGGUCCAGCUUGUUAAACACGGUGGCCCCAUGGAGUUCAUCCAGCAAAUCCUCAAUAACUGGCAUAGGGAAUUUGUUUUUUAUAGUCAGCUUGUUCAGCUGUCUGUAGUCUACACAUAAUCGCCAACUACCAUCCCUUUUUCUGACCAUUACUGCUGGAGAAGAGUAUGGACUGACACUGGGUUGAAUUUCAGCAUUCUUAAGCAGUUUAGUGAUGAUGUCUUCCAUAGAUGAUUUAUGGUAAUGAGGCACAUAGGGACGCAAACUAGGUGGAGUUGCUCCAGCCUGAAGGGGAAUAGUGCGAUCACAGUCCCUAGAAGGUGGCAAGCCUUCUAUUUCUUGAAAAACAUCAGCAUACUGUUGGAGAAUUGGUUCUAUUUCAGCAGGAACAGGAGAUGUAGGGGUAGUGACUGCAGUUUCUAAAUGAUGAAUUUGUAACACAUAUCCCAGCACCCCUUUCUUUAAUAAAUGCUGCAGUUUCUCAACAGUGAUCAUGCAUUGCUCAGGUGGCGCAGUAUGAUCAUUAAAAACAAUGGGGUGCCCAUCCUUGGUGAUAAUGAGGAAUCUGUUUGGUAAAUCCAAACAGAAUGGGCUAUGAAAAUAUAUCCAAUCACAUCCCAAGAUGACAUCAAAAGUUGAUAAGUCCAGAACUUUGAAGGUAGUAGUGAACUCCUUCCCCUGAAUUUUAUAGUCACAUGGGUGUGUCACAUGUGCAGAGAAAAUAUGACCACCUCCUGCUACAGACACUUUCUUUGGUGGUUCAUAAAAGUGUGAUAAGAACCACUGUCAACUAAUGCCACUGCUCGUUUACCAUUAAUGACCAAGAGCAGAGAGAAAGUGGCAGGUCCAGAAGUACCUUCAGCUGCUUGUGCAGACAAAUGCAUCAGUUUAGGUGGUUGUUCCUGAUCUGGAGUAGUUGGAGCUGUGUGGUAGACUUGAUCUGGAGAAACUGCGCCUGCCACUGGCAUAUUGGGAGGCUCAUCAUCAUCAUCCAAAUCUUGUAUGAUGUGAAGAGUGAUGCCAAUUUUGCAUCUGUGAUGCCUAUGAGAAGGUUCCCUGCAAUACCAGCAUAAUCUCUGUUCACUAAUUGGUGAGGUGCUGUUCUUGUGAGGAGGAAUCCCAGAUUGGACAACUGAGAGGAUGGCAGAAUUUGCUCCCUUGCUGGUGGGUGUGGUGGUGGAUAUUGCCUGUUCUUUUGGUAAGGGGGAGAGACAUGCUUCCUAGCAGCUGCUUUUUCAUAUAUUUUGGAAUACCAGUAGCAUUCCAUGAUAGUAGAUGGUUUUUGUCCACAAACAUCAUGUUUGAUGUCAGAUCUGAGACCCCCAAUGUAACAGCUGAGCAGAAAAUUUUCCUGAAUAAAUGGAUGAUCUCGCUUAACCAAGGCCACACUCUCCUCAAAGCUAUCAAUAUAGGCAUCAAUGGAACUUUGCUGCUUGAUGUUCUUCAAUUGUUCUACAGCCUCAUGAACAUUAGCCUUUGUGAAUCUAUCGGCCAGCAUAUUACAGAAUUGUUGCCAAGUAACCGUUUGCCAGGGCAAACAAAUGUGUUUCAGCCAAGUGGAGGCCCUGCCUUGGAGGUGACCAAUAGCAAUGUUAACCCAUUGAUCAUAAGGUGUGGCUGACAUAUCAAAGUACUUUUCACAAGCAAUUAACCAGCUGAUUGGGUCAUCACCCUCAAACAGUGGUAUUUCUAGUCUUGGUCCUUUAAGUACAGCAUCAGCCAAGUAAGAUGGUCCUCCUAACUGUGUAGCAUACUGGUUCCUUUGAGCAUCAUAUAAGUGAACUGCAGAUUGGUACACAGAUGGUGGCAUUUGUCCAGUGGGAGUAGUGUUGAUAUACUGCCUAGUCACAUGAUUAUAUGUGUAUGGAGGAAGAUACUGAGGAGCAAUAAUAGGACCAAAAUUUCCAGCAUUACCACAAUGGAGGGGAGGUGUGGGUGGUCUAGUGUGAUGUUCUUGUGUAGUGAGACGAAAUUGAUGUGAUUAUUGUGUGGAACUUGUCUAGUGGCAGAAGCAACUGUACUUUCAGUGAAAAUACGAGGUGGAAGUGGGUGGGUGGGUGGGCAUUUCAGGCUGUGUAGUAGGUUGUAUAGGUUGACACUGAAUUUCAGGUGUAGUGUGGGCAAAAGCAUCUUGUAAAUUGGUAGUGACAGAGCCUAAUGCACUAAAAGGGGUAACCGUGGCGACAAUAGGAAACAAAGGGUUUGACUGUAAUACAGGAGAUUCAGGAGUAUACCCUGGCAUACCAUAUGGAAAAUGAGAAGUGGAUGAACGACCAGAAGUGUUAGCAAUGAUCUGAUCAAGUGCUGACUAAAAACUUUGUUGCAUCUCGGUCAGUUUAUCCUGAAUUUUGGGCAUCGUGACCAUGUCCUCCCUGAUGUGACAGACCUCCGUCUUCAGUUGCUUAAGAUCAAGAAGAUUUGCAUGCAUGUCUUGUAACUCAGUCUCCAAUCUUUCUACCGUCGCCUGCGCCUUCGUCCGGGUAUUAUCAGCUACCCCGGUCAUCGUUGAGAUCAGAUCGGUGCAAGCGAGAUACUCAGCUCGUCCCAAUCACUCUGAUCUCAGCCCCUCAACACCGGAACACACAGGAUACAGUGGGGAUUUUACAGCAAGCCAACCCACUGUACGCCGAUAUGUUCAAUCACCGCCUUGGUACACGGAUCAGAGGAAUUGGAAAGGAAUUAAGCCUAAAAAGUUUAGAGCAACCUUACCCAAACCUCUGAUCUGUACCCGAAUGAGCUCCGCCGCCGCCGAGCUGCCACCGAACGAGAGCCGCACCGCCGCCGCGACAGGGAGGGCAUGGAGAGAUUUUUCGAGAGAUCCCAACCCCCCUGGCUCAUCUGCUCGAUUCACCGCCGAGUAUCACUGAUCUGGCCGAAAAUCGCCUGAGGCUCUAAUACCCUUGUAAGGCCCGAGUGGAAUUGAGGCCGAAUUCGUGUGAUUUCGUACAAGAUUUCGAUAGGAUUUAACGAGCAGAGCUCGGAAGAACAGAAGAACCCUAGCUAGAACUAAUUUACUUUGGAAUUCUCUUCUUACUUUAUUGCCGAUAGCCCAAGCCAGCUUAUAAGGCGCUGCUGAGUUGUGAUUUUAACCGACAAGAUCGUUACGGCGACAGUAAGUUCAACGGCGAAAGAACAACAAGUAAAACAUGUAAGGGUUGGAAUAGCGCGCGACGCCGCGCUGCAGCACUAGAGCGCGAUGCUGCGCUGUGGCCUUGGCGCACUGUGCGUUUGCAUGUGAGCAGGCGACUAGCAGAGCAGCAGGGGUCCGAUGGCUGCCUGCAUGCAUUCACCUAGCAGAGCAGCAACAUGCAUGUCUUAUUUUGUAAAACAUAACUUCAAAAUGUUAUAUCUCUGAAACCGUUCAUUAUGAUCCGUCUUCACGAUUAAUUUUGUCUCCAUGAGAUGUUCGAAACAAAACCUCAUAUUGACACGUUUUGAAGAACAAAAAAUCGUCUUAAAAGUUGCCACCCUUCAAUAUAUAAAGUUGUCACACUCUAAUAUAUAAAGUUGCCACACUCUAAUAUAUAAAGUUGUAAUAUCGUGCGACGAUCGCGCUAUAUGCACAGCGCAGGACGGUGCCAACCAAUCCGCUCACAUUAGGUUCCAGCAGCAGGCGGCUGCACGGAGCAGUAGACCAUGCUGCAUCAAAUUGUCUUUACUACAUCCUUGCACCACGUUAGACUAUUCCUUGCGCCAAGCGCGUUAGAGUAUUCACAUGUGAGUCCUGCAUAUUUUUUAUGAGUUCUGAACAAAACAAUAAACAUAUCAAUAUAUUUCGAUUAAAAAUCUACCAUGCACCACCGCAUCCCAUGUAUAUUCAACUGCAAAUCAAUAUAUCAUCUCCAUUCAAAAUGACCCACACAAAUCUUAUAUCAUGUCUCGCUUAAUACACCAAAUUGUCAUACCUAUUGCACACAAAAUGACAACCGUAAUGAGCACGAAUUGUCGCCCGUAGUAUACAUAAAUUACCACACUCUAUGAACAAAAAUUGUCGCCCUUAUUGUGCACAAAUUGCCAACCGUAAUGAACACGAAUUGGCACCUCUAAUUAACACAUAUUGCCACCCCGUAGUGAACAUAAAUUGCCACUCUAUGAAAAGAAAUUGCCACCAAUAAUACACACAAAUUUCCACUCUCUAAUUAACACAAAUUGCCACCCAUAGUAUACACAGAUUGCCACACACCAAUGAACAAAAAUUGCCACCAAUAAUACACACAAAUUGCCACCCCUAGUGAAGACAUAACCAUGUACAUCCAUCCAUUUCGGUUAAAAUCUAACACCCACCAUUGUAUCAUGCAUUUCCUUCACUCAUAAAUUGAGCUGCUACAUUUGAUUAAAACGACCCACCUAAUGCACAUAAAUUGCCAGCCUCUAGUGAUCAUAAAUUGCCACACCUACCUAAUGAACACAAAUUGUCACAUCUAAUGGAGACAAAUUGACUCCUCUGGUGAACAUAAAUUGCCAUGCAUAAUGCAGAUAAAUUGUCACAUCUGCUGAACACAAAUUGCCAUGGCCUAAUGAACACAUUUAACCAUUAUACGUAUGUCCACUUUGAUCAAAUCUAGCACCUGCUGCUUGCUUCACCCGAUUGAUUCCACUGUCGCGACCCUAAAUGUUUAUUGUUUGCAGAGCUCCUCCUCGAUGCAAGCCUUGCGAGAGAGACAACAUUGCUCCAUUAUGAUUUGCACACAAGCAGACUGAUUCGCCACCAAACGGAAAACCGAGUAGCUGCGGCGCUGACGGAUCGAUUACGUCCUUGUGGGCCAGCAUCAUUGUUUCACCCCCACAACCGUCAGACAGGAUGAGUAAGCAGCCACGGCGCCGACGGCUCCCGCUCGGGGCAGCGACAUGUAUUGCUCGUUGCAGGGACGGCGCACAGUGGCGGUGGCGGGGACAACACAUGGCGGAGACAGGGAUACACGAGGCUGCGGGCACGAUGCACAGCGGUGGCGUGGCAAUGCGAGGCGGCGGACACGGCUCAGGGCGGCGUGCAGAGGCGGGCACAGACCCGGCACGGCAGCGACGGAGAACGGCCGAGAGCACGAGGAGAAUGCGAACAUGUUCUCCUUGUAAAUUCCUUAAAAAAAAAGAAAAAAAAUACAUACAUGCAUGCAGCUAGCACAAGAGCAGCAAGUGCAUGCAGCAAAACAGCAGCAGCUAGCAAAACGUGUGCAUGCAUGCAGCAGCACAACAACGCAGCAGCAUUUGCGCUCCAGCUCGUCGCGCGGCCGGACUGACGCGCGAACGUUAGCGCGAUAUAAUUUCCGAAGAUGUAAAUAGCAGCAGAUAAGUGGCUUCAUCCUAGCCGUUGUAGCUUCAGUCGCCAGCUUCCAUCUCCACCGCAUGUUAACUGAAUAUGAGUCUCCUGUUCUUCAGUAUGCAGUAGCAGAUAAGCAGGGUCCUGACAGGCGGCCCGGCCCGAGCCGGCCAGAUCCGACGGCAGCAGCCAGAGAGAAGAGAGGGAGGGAGAAACCCGGGGGAGAGAGAUCGAGAGAGCGAGCGCAGAGGGAAUCUGUGACUUUUUGUGACACCGGACACCUCAAGCCUUACAAUUUUGGAUUGGAUGAGGCCUGACAUUUAGAGCAUUUUGUCUAUUUGGAGAUACCUUUUGAGGAAUGAUUUUGAUGACAAAAUGUCCAUAUCCCCUAUUUACUACAUUUGGGAUAGAUUUGAAAGACCCCAUUGAAGAUGCUCUUCUCGCGACUAUCCAGGGCACGCCUCCGAGUGAAGGACUGAGAUCCAGUGUGCCUGUCUUGCCUCAACCCCCAUCUUCCACCUCUCGUUUCAAUCGGACGGACAGCAGCAAUUAAGGCCCACGAGUGUCCCUCAUGUGUAUCAAUUCAAACAAGUGCACGAGUGACAAAAAAAUGCUAUGGUCAUUCUCACGCAGG
rnacentral:lncRNA from 1 species